rnacentral:rRNA from 21 species
CGACCCCAGGUCAGGCGGA